UGCUUGAAAUGCUUUUGCCUGGCAUGAGUCUAUACGUUCCUUACGUAUAAAAUCUGUAUUGCUUAGUACAGGGCUUGGUGGGUACUCAGUGAGUAUUUGUUACAAGAAUGAAAAGCUGCGUUUCUCAAAUGGGGCAUAAAUCAGAAUCGCAUGUGGAGCCUUUUUAAAAAAAAUUCGAUAACUCAGUAGUUCUCACCCUCAGUCUCCAGGAUUGGGACUUGGGUAUGUGUAUAUUAAUGUAUAUUUUUAACAUUUUAUUAUGGAAGAUUUCAAAGAUAUAAAAGAAUAAACAGAAUAGUAAAGUGAACCCCUUGUAUGCAUCACCCAGUUUAAAUGGCAUCAACAUUUAGCUGAUUUUAUUUCACCUAUCCUCCCAACAUUUCUUUUGCCUGGAGUAUUUAAAAAAAACAAAUGUAUUUUAAUAGGAAAUUUCAAACGUGCGUAAGAGUAGAAUGGUAUAAUGAGCCUGUAUGUACCUAUUGCCCUUGGUGUAGUGUAUUAAAGCAAAUUCCAGACACUAUGUCACUUUACUACUAAAUAGGGCAUAUCUAUAUUUUUGUAACCUCUGUAGGAGAUUCUGAUGCACUGUCCUGCUUUAGAUAAUAUAAACAUAGGGGAAAAUAGUAUCACAGCCAAAGGGCUAUGGGAUUCAGAGGCAUGAACAAUUUCAUUUGGUUUAGUGGAUCUGAGGUGUAAGGGAGGAAAUUUAUCUUUUCCUCGCCUAUCACUAGAUUCAUGGCUGAGGUCUCUCUAACAGAAGACCAACUAUCAAGAGAAAUUUCAACAUAGAAAUUUAUUUAGUAAGUUUUACUUGACACAGGAGCCUUCAUAAAACAUACCUGUGUAUGUUUUCUGUUAGUUAUGAUAUGGAAGAGGAUAGUAAUGGAGAAGCAUAAUUAGAUAAAACAGUAUGAUCUAAUAAUAAACUGGGAAGAACUUAGCAAGGCCUGUUUGCUCAGAUUUUUCUCUGUGACCCUUCAUAUUCAGACUUAAGGAUGUUGUUUUCCUCUGUGUAUAGAGAGGGCACCUCUUAAAUGAGGGUCUUAUGACCUGCAUCAGCGGAAGGUCAGAAAAUCUUUCCUAGGUUUUAUGACCUGCUUCAGGAGAGAAGGUCAAGAUACAAAAGAUAUCCAAAAUUGUAAAGAGUUCCUUUUUGCCCCUUCCUAGUCAAAGAAGGGGUAAGUGCUAUUCUGACUUACUUAACAAAAAAUAACCUUGAACUGGUAGGAUUUUUUUUGACGGUAGGAUUUUUUUUGACGGGAAGAAGUAAGGAAAAGAGCAAUACGGAUGUUUAAAAA
rnacentral:lncRNA from 1 species